UACGUAGGGAGCAAGCGUUGUUCGGAUUUACUGGGCGUAAAGGGCGCGUAGGCGGCGCGACAAGUCACUUGUGAAAUCUCCGGGCUUAACUCGGAACGGUCAAGUGAAACUGUCAUGCUAGAGUGCAGAAGGGGCAAUCGGAAUUCUUGGUGUAGCGGUGAAAUGCGUAGAUAUCAAGAGGAACACCAAUUGCGAAGGCAGCUCGCUGGGACGUUACUGACGCUGAGACGCGAAAGCGUGGGGAGCAAACAGG
rnacentral:rRNA from 1 species